AUCACUUCUCAGCCUUUUGGCUAAGAUCAAGUGUAGUAUCUAAAAUAGAGGUCAAACUUUGAAAGAUAGUCAAUGAUCCUUU
ensembl:snRNA U2 U2 spliceosomal RNA